UACGGGGGGGGCAAGCGUUGUUCGGAAUUACUGGGCGUAAAGGGCUCGUAGGCGGCCAACUAAGUCAGACGUGAAAUCCCUCGGCUUAACCGGGGAACUGCGUCUGAUACUGGAUGGCUUGAGUUCGGGAGAGGGAUGCGGAAUUCCAGGUGUAGCGGUGAAAUGCGUAGAUAUCGGGAGGAACACCAGUGGCGAAGGCGACUUCCUGGCCUGUUCUUGACGCUGAGGCGCGAAAGCUAGGGGAGCAAACGGG
rnacentral:rRNA from 1 species